rnacentral:tRNA from 3 species
GGGUGAUUAGCUCAGCUGGGAGAGCACCUCCCUUACAAGGAGGGGGUCGGCGGUUCGAUCCCGUCAUCACCCC